rnacentral:rRNA from 1 species
GAUGAACGCUGGCGGCGUGCCUAAUACAUGCAAGUCGAGCGAACAGAUGAGGAGCUUGCUCCUCUGGCGUUAGCGGCGGACGGGUGAGUAACACGUGGAUAACCUACCUAUAAGACUGGGAUAACUUCGGGAAACCGGAGCUAAUACCGGAUAAUAUAUUGAACCGCAUGGUUCAAUAGUGAAAGACGGUUUUGCUGUCACUUAUAGAUGGAUCCGCGCCGCAUUAGCUAGUUGGUAAGGUAACGGCUUACCAAGGCAACGAUGCGUAGCCGACCUGAGAGGGUGAUCGGCCAGACUGGAACUGAGACACGGUCCAGACUCCUACGGGAGGCAGCAGCAGGGAAUCUUCCGCAAUGGGCGAAAGCCUGACGGAGCAACGCCGCGUGAGUGAUGAAGGUCUUCGGAUCGUAAAACUCUGUUAUUAGGGAAGAACAAAUGUGUAAGUAACUAGGCACGUCUUGACGGUACCUAAUCAGAAAGCCACGGCUAACUACGUG